UACGUAGGGGGCAAGCGUUGUCCGGAUUUACUGGGCGUAAAGAGCGUGUAGGCGGCCACGCAGGUCCGUUGUGAAAACUGGAGGCUCAACCUUCAGACGUCGACGGAAACCGUAUGGCUAGAGUCCGGAAGAGGAGAGUGGAAUUCCUGGUGUAGCGGUGAAAUGCGCAGAUAUCAAGGAAGAACACCCGUGGCGAAGGCGGCUCUCUGGGACGGUACUGACGCUGAGACGCGAAAGCGUGGGGAGCGAACAGG
rnacentral:rRNA from 1 species